AACGAACGCUGGCGGCAUGCCUAACACAUGCAAGUCGAACGACACCUUCGUGUCUAGUUGCGCACGGGUGCGUAACGCGUGGGAACCUGCCCUUAGGUUCCGAAUACCUCCCUUAAGGGGGUGCUAAUACCGGAUAAUUUCUUCGGACCUAAGAUUUAUCGCGUUUGGAUGGGCCGGCGUUGGAUUAGCUUGUUGGUAGUGUAAAAGCCUAGCAAGGCUAGGUUCCAUAGCUGGUCUGAGAGAAUGGUCAGACACACUGGGACUGAGACACGGCGCAGAAUCGUGAGGGAGGGGGGAGUGGGGAAUAAUGGAAAACGGGAGAAGGCAUGAGCAAGCAAGGGCGGGUGAGUGAUGAAGGCGGGAGGGAAGUAAAGCUCGUUUAUACGGGAUGGUAAUGACAGUACCGGGAGAAUAAGCUCCGGCUAACUUCGUG
rnacentral:rRNA from 1 species